AGGGUAUAGAACGGUUUGCUCCUGGGAAUGUGAGCUUGCGGCACCAGAGAAUAGUUUCAGGGUUUGUCCAGUCCUGGGCAAGGCUGGCGGGCCCGUGCUCCAGGCCCCUGGGUCAUCGGCAGACUCUGUGUCAUCGCAUUCCAUCAGCUUCUUCUUAGGACAGUAGGACAAUGGCCCCCAGUUAAGACACCCAAAAGUGACUUACUGAAUUCCCUACAAAAAUCCUCUGGGAGGAGAUCAUGAUCAAAAAUGUUUGAUAACUACACCUCUAGAACACUGAAGCACUGGCAAGUGACGUCCUUGGCUAUAUUUCCAGUCUUUUAAAGGAUACUGUCCUGAUGACGUGGGCAGAGCAGUGUGCUGGAGCUUCUUGUCUCGAAACCUGGACUUUCAUAAAGCUUCUCUCAUCUGUGGGUGAUUAUCUUAGGAAGCACUUUCCUGGGGUUCCCCGAUUGUGGCUGAGAGGAGCUGGAGCCAGUUCACGAACCACUGGAUCCACGGCCAGGACCAAGAUUUGUCAGCUCAGUGGGAAGUACAAGCUGUAACCACAGCUGAGCUACUCUCUUCUCAACAAGGGCCCCUGGAACCACGCGGCUCAGGGAAAACUGGGGAAGAGCCAGGAGCAUCUUGGAAGGAGCUGUGGGAUGUGAGUCAGUCAAACGACCAUAGAGACCUUGAACUUCUCUGAGUCCCGUCCCUUCAUAAGCACCAACAAUAGUAGGUCCUUCCCUGGAAGAAUUAAGCAGAAAAUGUCUAAGUGCUUUGCACCCUCGAGUGGCAAAGAGGGAUGCCUGAGACUCUUUGAACCCGAAGCCAAUGUUGUGUCAGCCACAGUGGUUAAGAGCACACGCUGGAGCAAAUCCUGACUCUAUGGCUACUUCCUAGCUGUGUGACUUGGGGACAGUCCUCUGAGACCAUCUGUUCCCGCCUCUGUAACCUAUGGAUAGUAAUAAUACCUACCUCAUAGGGUUGUGAGAGGAUUACAUAAGUCAAGGUAUGUGAAGCUCUUGGCACAGCACCUGGCAGGGAGUAAAGGCUGUAUAAGGACCCCUCUGCUUGUGAAGCACUUAGCACAGCACCUGGCACAGGGUAAAGACUGUAUUAGGAUCCCUUAACUAAAGCUUUUAAAUUGCUGCAUCUUCCCAGUGCAGGUGAUUUGCUGUGCUGACUCCCAUGGGGCCUGGUGACAGGCAAUAGAAAAUGAGUCUCUAAAGUCAUCCACUACUUUUCUCUUUCCUGUCCUCUCUCAAGGCCUGGAUGUGAGUGGUUGCAGUGGUGCAAGGUGAUCAGCUCAUCCCACUUUGUCUAGAACUUCCCAGGUGUUAGCACUGCAAGGCCCAUGCUCUGGGAACCCCUUGGGUCUCAGACAAGCCAGGAGGAGCAAGAUAUGGUGGCAGUUGGGUUUUGUGGGGUCAAGUGUGUGAUUGCAGACGGUAUUUGCUAGAGCUGCUAUAACCAAAUGGCACAGAUGAGGUAGCUUAACCAACAGAACACUAUUUCUCACAGUUGCAGAGUCUGGAUGUCCAAGAUCAAGGUCCUGGUGGGGUUGGUUUCUCCUGAGGCUUCUGUCCUGGAGAAGUGGAGGAGUAAGUCCCUCUUGCGGGGUCCCUAAGGCCACUUAGAGCACAACCGCAGAUAGGCCAGCAGAGAGGCAGAGGAGAUGAAAAGAUGGAUUACACUCAUAGAUCCUGGAGGAGGGAGGCACACCACACCACACAGGGGACCCACACAUGGGAAGAGCAUCCAGGAAGCAAGCUCCCUCAUGGGGUAAGGAGCUGAGACAAAGGACCUGCUGGCCAUGCCUUUACUGGGGGUCAGGGUAGAGUACACCAGCAAGAGGCAUGAAAAGGGUUCAUCGGUGCAUUUGAAUGUCACUGGGUCACAGUCAAAGGAAGGCCAGAAGGGAACUCGUGGCAGGCACAAGCCUGAUCACACCGGCACACCUGGUCAUCCAGGUGAGUAGGUACAGCCUGGAUGUGGGGAAGCCAAGGCAUCAGGAAAGCAAGAAUUUUGAGAACGUACCAAACACCUUGGCUUCCAGAUGGCCAUCUUCUCGCUGCGCCCUCGUAUGGCCCUCUCUCUUUGCACACGCAACCCUGGCAUCUCUUCCUCUUCUUAGAAGAACACCAGUCAUAUCCGACUAGGGCCUCACCCGUAUGACCCCAUUUGAUCCUAACUACCUCUUUAAAGGUUCCAGUUCCAAAUAUAUAUCGUCACACUGGGGAUUUGGGCUUCAACACAUGGAUCUGGAGGGAACACAGAUCUGCCAGUAACAGAGGCUAUGGGUUUCAAGGCAGAGGUUUUUCAGCGCGUCCCAUCCUCCACAUGGAACUUAAGGCAGCUGAAAGUUCUCACUGCACAUUGUUACCCUGUCACUUCGCCAUUGGUGGCACCGACAGCACACACAGUGAACUUUAAUUGGAGGGCAUAUCUCAGCAGCAAGCUAGCACCAGUUAUCCGCGGUCAACUGCUGCCAGGAAGUCGAUGAUCCUCCCUUUACGCAUGGUCAGAAGGUCAAUAGUAGCCUAACACUACACCUACCUCACUCACCUCACUUCAUCUCAUCACGUGGUCAUUUUAUUAUCUCACAUCCCCACAAGAGAUGACAAAGGGUGAGUACAAGACAAAUGAGAUAUUUUGAGAGAGACCACAUUCACAUAACUUCUAUUACGGUAUAUUGUUAUAAUUGCUCUAUUUUGUUCUUAGCUAUUGUUAAUCUCUUACUGUACCUAAUUUAUGAAUUAAACUUUAUCGUAUGUAUGCAUAGAAAAAAUGUAGUACAUAUUGGGUUUGGUACCAUCCAGUUUCAGGCAUCCAUGGGGGACGGUCUUAGAUUGUACUCCCUGUAGAUAAGAGGGGACCACUUGCCAGCCAUUAUAGUAAGCUAAGCACCCCCAUACAUAACUCAUAUGGAUCAUGUUCUAUAAAAUAGUAUAUCACUCUUAUUUCUUCACUGAACCUCUUAGAAACAGCCCACAUGUGGGCAGAUAGUGUUAUCACAUUGUUUUUGUUAAGAGAUGUUGUAUUAAUCAUACACAGAGGCGUAACAAAUUACCCCCAAACUUCGUGGCUUAAAACAAUAGCUUUUAUUAUCUUACAGUUUCUGUGGGUCAAGAGUCUGAAUGUGGCUUUGUCAGGUCCUUGGGCUGAGGGUCUCUUACAAAGCCACAAUCAGAAGGUGUGACAAGGGUUUGCACCUCAAGGUUCAAGUGCAGGGGGAUCCUCUUCCAAGCUCACUCACAUGGUUGCUGGCAGGAUGUGUUCUUCCUCGGCUAUCGAACUAAGAUUGCCCUCGGUUUCUGCCACAUGAGUCUCUCCAUAGGGCAGCCCACAACAUGGCAACUGGCUUCGUUGGAACAAGAGAAAAGAGCUGGGCAGAGAAAGUGUGAGCAAGACAGAAGUUGCGGUGUUUUGUAACCUAAUCUUGGAAGUGCCUGUGGUGUAUAGAGCUCUAAGAUGUUCCCCUGAUGUAUGCAUCCUAUAUAAUUCCAGGACUGUGAAUACGAUGGGAUAUCACUCCCAAGGUUGUGUUACAUUAUGUGGUCAAAAGGAUUUUGCAAAUGUCAUUAAGAUCUCAAGUUAGUAGACUUAAAGAUGAGGAGGUUAUCCAUGUGGAACUGACCUAACCACGUGAGUCCUUGAGAAAGCUAACUUCCACAUAUAUACUUAAGGAGCCUGGGUCUCAAGAUUAGAGAUGAAGUGAGUUAGAGACUCAAACAAAGCAUGAGAAGGAUUAGACACACUAUUACUGAUGUGAAAAUGGAAGGGGCCACAUGGAAAGGAAUAUGAGUGGCCGCUGGCAGCUGAAAGCAUCAUGUGGAUGACAGCCGACAAGGGAACAGGAACCUCAACUCUACAACCACCAGGAACUGCAUGCUGCCAUCAGCAAGAAUGGACUUGGACGUAGAUUUUCCCAAAUCUGUAGACAAGGACUCAGUGUGACCAAUAACUUGAUUUCAGAGUUGUGACACUUUGAGCAGAGCCCUGCUAACCUACAAACACUCAGACUCUUGGCUCCCAGAAAGAGUAAGAUAAUACAUUUAUGUUGUUAUGA